GAAGAUUCCGGCAGCAGGACCCACCCUGCCCAGAGCCCCUGGCAGGUGGAUGAGAUCCUUCUUCCAGGGCGGAAGUGAGGUGUGAGCGGAGCAUAGGAUUCCCUGGCCUGCCGUGUGCCCGUGCCUCUCAGUCCUGCGGCCCGAGUCUCUGAGUCACCUCCUCGAAGCAGACGGGAUCAGGGAGGGCCAGGAGGGCCAAGCUGUUGGCACAGAGACUCUCCUGAGCCAGCUCUGACCGUCGGCACCUGCGGCGGUGGGGGUGACGGGCGCGCCCGGCCCCAGCUGCGAGCCGGCAGACUGGACGGCUCCUUUGCGGCCUCAGUUUACUCAUCCCUAAGACUCAGGGUAGGCGUUCUUCCUGGUGGAGUGUUGGGGACACAAAGUAAAUCCCAGAGCACGCGUGGCUUCAGUGAGAAAGCCCAGGGGAUGGAACAAAAGUCUUUGCACACGGGACGCAGCCAAGAAGCACGGUGGGUUAUACUUCACUCAAAGGCAGCAAACUCUCCGGGUGUUUGGGCCGUGCCGGGCUCUUUCCGUGCUGCAGCCCAGCAGGGUCCGGUCCCCUCCCUCCGUUAUUUCCCGUUUACGUGUUCUGGUGCUGCGGGAGGGGAGACGGUGAAUUGAGGCAGCGUGAGGACUCGUGGGCAGCCCCCGCCCCAAGCGGCCAGGGGCCUCGUCGGCAGCAUCUCUGAGGCAGCCGGGGGGGUCUCCGGGCCCCAGGAGCUGGACCCCAGGCCUGCCGUGGCCACGGCCACAGGCUUCCGGUCAGAUCCACAGCCUUGGGGAGACAUCCAUGUGGGGAGAGGUCUCCGUGAUCUGAGCAGCUCUGUGUGGCGGUCCCGGGUCUGUUUGCACCCGCCCGUGGCAGGGGCUGCGUGGGGCCGGCCGGGGUUCCAGACUGGCUGUUUCCCCCGAGGCUCUCUGUCCAUGCCUUCUGCAGUGUUCCGGAACGGCACCUCCAAACCCACGUUCCGCCUGGGACAGCCACUGCCAGCCCUGAGGGCUCAUGGGAGUGGCCACACCGUUGCAGGGGACUGGGCCCCAGUAUCCAGAUCCAACCUCCUGGGGCCCGGCCCCACCUGGCCCUCACUGCUGUGUGGUCUCGGGGAAGCCGUGGCCUCUCCCUGGGGUUCUGUUGCAAAAGGGGCAUCCAGACCUCUUGUGCGUCCCCCUCGGCACCAACAGAAGCGGAAGAGGGAGCCUGUUUUUCUGGCCAAGAAGGGGGCGGGGCGGGGCGUCUGGCUUGGGAACAGACACAACCCACCACUUGCACAGAUGAAGCCUGUGCACGCAGCCCCCACUGGUCACGCGGGCAGAGAGGGAACGAAGGUGCUUCACAUUCUAUUUGCUUCUGUCCUGCCACAUACAUAAAUAGGCGUGGAACUACCAAAGGUGUGUACGUUUACGUUGAAGCUUCGAGCAACACAGACAAUGCAGAAGAACAAAAACAAACGGCCGAAGAAAUUAGGGCAGAGGGAAAAUCGAAGUUAGGCCUAGCAGAAGCCAAGUCAUGUAGAAGUCUGCCGGUUGCCGGUGGGGACCUGUAAAUUCAGCUCUGAACUUCUAGCGUCCCAAGCAAGGAGGAAAAGACUAUCCCUUGCAGGAAGUGACGUUCAGAGAGCGCUUUCUGCACCAGUGAUCCCAAGAGAGCUGCGGGGUGACGCUCCAGGAUGCCCCAAAGCCCCAGACGAGGGCGGGGGGAGAGGAGGGCCCUCCCUCAUGCUCAGCACGGCCGUGGUCCCCUCAUCCUCGCCAGCGCCUCACGCGCUCUGUCACUUGACUGUCCCCAACCCGAAAAGCCUAGUUUGAGACAGAGGCAGUGAGGGGCCCCGGCCAAGCCAUCAGGCCUCACCGAGGCUGAUGGCGAACGUACGUCUCUGGCCCCUGAGUCCGCACGUUUGCGGCCCAGAGACGGACGACCCCAGAAAAUCGGGGUGUUCCGUUCCCAGUGUUUGGGGCACACGGUCACAGCUGGGGCCCUUGAGGUGACCUCACAGGCUCUCCGGCCAGGGUGGGUCGGGGCAAGGGCACCGCAUGUAUCCUGGGGGGCUCUUUUCCGAGACUCACAUAGCAUCUCUCUCCUUCCAGGACUCACCCCUGCGUCCCGUCACCUUGUUCUGCAAGUGACCCCUGACGUUCAGACGACUGGCCGUGCACCACCCUCAGGUUGAGAAGCGGUGUCCAGAAGGGGGCUUCUGUCCACGGUCGGCCUUCCUCGAGGUCCUGCCGUCAGCCACGAGGGUCCUUGGACGGAGAUCUAACGGUCCCACUGCCAAACCUUUGCCCAAGCCGUGCCCUGCACCCAAAGCCACGCCUCCUUUUCCUGCCACUCUCCGGCACACUCCCCCAGGCGACGCGCUUCGUCCACCCACCAUGCGCUUGUGACGCUGUAACCUUUGACGGUUACCGGACGUGGCCCGGAGGAGCCCUGGUCUGUGAGAGCGGGUGCAAGCAGGGUGCUCGGCUCUGUCUCUCAGGUGCACCUGCUACCCUCGGGCUCACCUUGUCUGGAGGGCCUCUGGGGCCAGGAAUCCUUGAGGGAGCCCCUUGGCUCUGCCAGCCGUGAACCAGCCCUCGACUGCAAUCCUGAUGUGCCUCGGCCGCCGCCACUGGCCCAAGAGGCCACUCGGUAAGUCCAGCCUGGAAAAAGAACAAAGGGCGAACGAAGGAAGCCAAGCGACCUGCUUCUCAGGCUGGGCCGGGGGGGAGGGGGGGGGAUGAAGCGGGGGUACGUGUGGUGACCGCCAGGGUGGACCAGGAUGUGGGUCUCUUCCCGUCUCCCUGUCUGUCCCCACCCCGCAGGGCCCGGCCCGCGGCCCGGCCUGUCGUGCGGUCUAUGUCUCCCAGCUGGGGCUGGGCCCUCCCUGCAGCCUUAGCACAUGGGUGUCUCAGCGGCCGACCCUGGAGCCCAGAGCCUGUGCUCAGGGUCCCUCCCCCUGGGACGUUCGGGGGAGUCCUGGGCUGGGAGCCUUGGCCAGUUUUCUCCCCAGCAGUGGGACCAGCAGCAGUCAGUCUCCCCACAGCGCAGUUGGGUGGGCGCCCAGGGUGCUUAGGGGCCGGGCAUGAGACCUCCGUCUGCAGCAGGGGGCAAAAAGCCAAGCCCGGCAGAGCCCAAGAGCAAGCCCCCCGCCCCCACCACACACAUGGGGCCGAGGCCCCCACCGGUCUGAGCCUCUGUUUCCUCACUGCAAAAAGGGAUCAGUAAUCCUAGCUUCACCAGGCCCGUGAGGGCCAAAUGGCACGGCCCAGCCUGGGGCCUGCCUGGAGGAGGCAGCCUGCUAGGAGGGGUGUGGAAGGAAGCUCAGAGCCCUUAUACCGCUGGGCGGAAAGCAGAAUGCCGUAACCUCCCCUCUGCUGCCUGUCAGCCGUGUGACCCCGUGAAGGUGAGGUUACCUCUCUGGGCCCCAGUCUGCUCACCUACAAGAUGGGCUGACAGUAGUCCUUGCCUCACCAGCUUUUCCUCGGGGGCCCCCGGCAAGGUGGCGGCCAUGGUGGACAUUUAUCCAGGCUGCCUGUGCCUCCGGGCACUGAAUGCCGAGCCCUCCAGGGCCUACGGUUGUGCCCCGGCUGCCUUCCCCAGGGGAGCCGGGUCCCUUUGGAAAGAAAGAACAGCGUCCUGGGAUGUCUCCCGAAGUGGGGACAGCUCAGGUCACUUGGAACAGCGGGACCGGAGUGACCAUAGUCUAUGGGGAAGGCACACCCGCCCCCCCCCCCCGCCGCCCAGUGGGUGGAGGGAGCAGGCCCUGAGGCCACCCGCGCGUCUCGGGCAGCCAGAGAGGGGAGGCUGUGCUGUCAGAGGGCGGGCGGCCAGAAGGACACGGCGCCUUUUUGCCACAUGUUGGCUUCUAAGUGACAGCCUUCCAGUGUCACCCUUGCAGCAGAUGUCCCUUGGCCACACGGUGGCCGCUCCGUCCGGGUGGGAGUGACCGGUCACCUGUAGUGCUUGCCCCAAGCCACACUGCAAUGCUUGUCCCCUCCCUCCGUCCCCUCGCCUCCUUCCUCUGGUUGGUGGCUUUCUCCUGCGGGACACCCUCUGCGCGGCGGCUCUGGGGAGUACGCGGUGCCCGGGGCCCCUGCUGGCCUGCCUGCCGGAGUCCCUGAGACCUCGGCGCCCGCCGGCCUGGCCCCCACCCCUCUCCCCCGCAGCUCUCCCGCCCCCUCCAGGAGGUGCCUCUGAAGCCGCGAAGCC